GACAGAGGUGCCGAGCGUUAGGCGGAAUCACUGGGCUUAAAGCGUGUGUAGGCGGAUGGGUAAGUACCUUGUGAAAUCCCGCGGCUCAACCGUGGAACUGCUCGGUAUACUGCUCGUCUUGAGCCAACUAGGGGCGACCGGAACAAACGGUGGAGCGGUGAAAUGCGUAGAUAUCGUUUGGAACGCCGAUGGUGAAAACAGGUCGCUGGGGUUGUGCUGACGCUGAGACACGAAAGCCAGGGGAGCGAACGGG
rnacentral:rRNA from 1 species